AAAAUACCACCCCCAGCCCCUUCUGAAGCACGCCCACUCUAGCUUCCCAGUAAGUGUGUCCAACCAUGGCUCAUCCCCCGUGGUUAUCUAGCAGCUGGACUCUGUAGACCACGGAGUGGUGGCCAUGGCACUCAAGAAGAAGGGGAAAGGGAGCGUGGGCAGGAAGAAUGAGAAGAAGGUGGAGGAGAGGACCACAGGGGAGCCUGUCACAGAGAAGAGCAAGGAGUUCUACCAACUCCAAAUCCAGGACCUGGAGGGCCAUCUGGAGAGGUGAUGGGGGGGGGCCUACAGGUCUCAGCAUGCCCUGACUACAAUCAUAGAAACAACAAGUGAAAGGGAAAAGAAUUCACCACACUCGUGAUUCCGGCCAAAGUCAUGUUUGUGCAUUGUCUUGUGCAUUUGCGACGAAAAAGAAUGCAUCACACAGCAGGGCCAGGGUGCUGACUCCCACACCAGGGAGUCAUCCAGCCACCCACAGGAGCCAACCACAGAGGAUGUGGAAGCCAGCCACAGAGGAUGCAGGAGCCAGACAGCCACAGAGGAAGCGGGAACCAGCCACAACUACAGUGCCCAUAGUUAAGGAAACAAGAAUUUAAAAAGGAAUACAUGCAUAACACAAAAAGGAAUCCUAAAUAACAUGACGUCACAAGAAGAAAUCACUGGUUUGAAGAUCUUGGAAUCUCUGCAAAGAGAAAAUGAAGAAGAAAUAUCUGAAAUAACAGGCCUUUAUACAAAUUUACAUCAGAAAAAAAGACUUUGAGGAUUCAUUUGCACCAUAGAAAACUGUAACAACACCGUAUAAAGUCAAGAAAAUAAAUAAUACAAUUUGACGCAAAACACAAUUUGACUUAUAAAUAAAGACAGGCACUAAGAGAAUUGCAAGUAAAUAAAGUAUAAUAAAGCCAGUCAAUUAAGGUGGAAAUAUUGUAAUUAAAAAUAGAGAAUAUUUUUUUUAAAUGUACCGGUACCUAAAAAAAAUAAUUGGUACAAAAAAUGAUCAAAUGUUCACUCCAGCUCUCACUAAGGAAUAGCUCGGGGUCCUUCAGAAAAUCUUGAAUAAAUCUCUAAAGUAAUUUCAGAAGAGAAAUAUAAAUAGAACCCAACUUUAGCAACAUUUUUGCUAUUCCCAAAAAUCCAUAAAAAUAAGAAUGAUUAACUAGGGUGACCAAUCAUCCCCGUAAGGCUGACAUUCAGGUUAGGCUCUACUAUGGAUUUGAGGUGAACCCUGCUUGUUUACAGUCCCAGCACACUAAUAUGGGAUUUUGUUGGGCCAAAUGCUUUUUAACCAUUGCAUUAGAAGGAAAUUUGAAUUUAAGGCAACUGGGUUGGAAUGGCCAGUAAUGGGGGCUUUGUUGUGUGCCAGUCCCCUCACUGUAAAAGGGUAGACACAGGGCAGUUAUAGUCUCAGUGUAUUGGAAGCUGUUGCAAGAAAGGUUAAGGAGAGCUGACAAACUGCAUAGGGAAAGAUUACAAUCAGUUGGGAAACUGUACUUGAGUUUUGAUUUCUAGCUCUUUAGAUGAUCAACCUCUUUAUUGUCUUUUUGUUUUUAUUAUUGUGGAUAUGUUUGUCUUUAUUUUUUGGUUGAUUUAGGUCAGUAGUCACUUUUAGCUAUUUUCCUGUCCAUAUCAACUUUUUUUUU